UACGUAGGGGGCAAGCGUUGUCCGGAAUCAUUGGGCGUAAAGAGCGUGUAGGCGGCCAGACAGGUCCGUUGUGAAAACUGGAGGCUUAACCUCCAGACGUCGAUGGAAACCGUUUGGCUAGAGUCCGGAAGAGGAGAAUGGAAUUCCUGGUGUAGCGGUGAAAUGCGCAGAUAUCAGGAAGAACACCCGUGGCGAAGGCGGCUCUCUGGGACGUGACUGACGCUGAGACGCGAAAGCGUGGGGAGCGAACAGG
rnacentral:rRNA from 1 species